UAUAAACGUGCCACUGUUGCAGAAUUAAUGGACAUUACAGUGUCUGGCAGUUAAUUAUUUCACACACAGCCCCAAAUGAGUGGCAAUAUUUAGUCACCAGAUAUUUUUAGUGUCUGACUGUAAUAAAAUGCAGUCUCCCCAGAGCUCUAUCACUGGCACAGUGAUACUCUUAUUGUAAUUAGCAGUGGUUGAGGAAAAUGGUGACUUGUAAGGUUUUGUCUAGCAAUCAGGCUGCAGCAGGGACUAAACCUGAAAUAAAACAAAUCACUCUUCAAUUUUUAUAUGAACAUUUUGACCAAGCUAUGACAAUGGGGUUAUCCUAAUGGUUUGGCUGAGAUUCAGCUUUUCUAUUGGAGCAUGGUAUGUCGUGACCUUAAGGGAUAAGAACCAUAGUGAUAAUUACCAGAAUAGGGCUGGAAAUCCUCUCUUUUAAAAAAAUCUCUCAAAGAUAUAGUAUAAACGCUAAGGACUAGGAAUUCGGGAACAUUACACAGUACAUUUCAGUGAGGAGGACCACGUCAGGAUCAUGGAUCCUGGUGACCUAGCUGUAUGCCUGAUGGCCUACAGAGAUUGUAGAAGAUGGAGGAGAGAGUGACUGAGGCACCUGGCCGUGCAAAGGCAGGAGCAGCAACCUCAUGAAGAAGGGGCAGCAGGGGCUCCCACACACACUGCCCAGGAGCAACAGCGGGCCGUGGCUGGUUGGCACCUAGCAACACCCAGAGUCUCACAUGGCUAGGGACCUGAUGGACUCAUUACUUCUGAAUUCAGUGCACAGAUCUUCUCGUAAUAAAUACAAAUUGCAAAACCAUGGUGAUACCAUGGCGAAGUUUUGCUUGUAGAUUUGGUCCACUUGGCACACGUUAUCUGCCACAUCAUAACAGACCCUCCUCCCCACAGAGUUGGUUUUGCCAUCUGGAAUAUGAUCUUGGAUGCAUUACCAGAACUCCCCAAUUGUAUAAAUGUAAGACUCAUGAUACUUCACCUACAACUCAGCUGUAACCAAUAUGCCACCAUCAACCAUGGACUCCAUUGAAGAUGUUAAAGUUCUAUUCUGACAUUGAUGGAGUCCUCACUGCCAUCCCAAAAGAGGCAAAGAUUGUACUUCUGGGGGAUUUCAGGAUUAGCUGUGACUCUGAUGUCUGGAAUGGAAAUGAUGGGAAAAAUGGGGUGAGAAAAGCCAAUACAAAUAGUGUCUUCCCGCUCACAAAGUGUGCUCAGCAUGGCUUCAUUAUAACAAAUACCCUCUUCUGCCAGAAGGAAAAUUACAAAACCUCAUGGAGGGAUCCUAGAUGAAAGAACUGGCACUUCUUGGAUUAUAUCAUUGUUGGAGUCAAAUAUCUAAGUGAUGUUUGGGGUACUGAUGCCUGCUAGAAGGAUCAUUGACUUGUUCAAUUGGUGAUGAACAUCCACCCAGCAUAAAAACAUCCACCCAGCAAGACCCAAAUGUUGAAGAGGAAGAAGAUCAAUGUCUCAGCCCCAAAGUAGCCCAACUGAAGAGUGGAGUUCCAAGUGCAGCUUAUGACCAAUCCGGAAAAUCUUUACUCAUCCAACUCAAUUUCAGAACAGUGGGAUCAAAUAAAGUCAACUCUACCAGACUCCUGUGUCCACACCAUUGAGUUCAAAUAUCAUUGUCCCAAAGGCUGGUUCGACAAAAAUAAUGCUUAACCAUGCUAACUCAUGAAACAAAAGUGAGCAGUCUGCAUUGCCUGGCAAAACAGCCCAAUGUCACAAGUCAACAUUCCAACGGCUCAAAGCUGACACCCAAAGACAAAUCUGGAAAAUAAAGGAUGUGUGGUGGGAAGAGAAAACCUGGGAGAUCCAACAAUAUGCUGAUCAUCAUGAUAUGUGAAGCUUUUUUGAAGCCACCAGGGCCAUGUCUGGACCAAGGUCAAAUGGACAAAAUCCCCUUUGCUCAUAAGAUGGUGUUUCUCUUCUUAAGGAUGACAAUGCGAUCCGUCAAUGUUGGAAAGAACAUUUUCAAGAAACCUUCAACCAUGAAUUCUUAGUGACAGCUGAUACUCUCCAGGCUGUCCCCCAGCACCCUGUGGUAGAAUCCACUAUUGAACCACUAUUGAUGGGAGAGCUGCAACAAGCAAUCACAUGGAAGAAAAAUAACUAAGCUUGCAGCCCCGAUGGUAUUCCAGCUGAGAUCUUCAAAGCUGGUGGGCUUUUUGCUCACAGCAAGACUGCAUGCACUCAUUCUACGGAUUUCAGAAGAGAAAGUACUUCUACCCCGACCCUGACUUCAGGAAUGUGACAGUCAUAACUGGCUUCAAGAAGGGAGAUAAUUCAUGCUAUGGGAAGUAUUGAAGUAUUUCCCUCUUGUCCAUAAGCUGGGAAGAAACUGAAAUGCAUUCUCCUGAAUCGUCUACUUCCAAUGGUUGAGGAAAUCCUCCGAGACACAGUGUGGCUUUAGACUUUCCAGAGGAACCUCUGACAUAAUCUUUGUUGCCAGACAAAUCCAAGGAAAAUGUUGAGAACAACAUCAGAGCCCAUCAUUGCAUUCAUCAACCUGAUGAAAGCAUUUGACUCAGUAAAUCAUGAGGCUCUGUGGUUUGUGCUCCAGAGAUUUGGAUGUCCAAGAAACUUCAUCACAAUCCUACAACUGCGUCAUUCACAUUGUUAAACAGCUAGGGAUAUAAGCUCUAUUCUUAAUAAGAACUCAUUAAAAUUGUCAUUUUGAAAACUGCUCAUUUAGACACAAAUAUUUAAUCAUCAGAAAUGCUGAUAAGAAAGGAAACUGAAAUCUUUAUUAUGAGCUGGGAUAUAUCAGUCAACACUGCCAUUUCCAAAACUCAGCUUUUUAUCUUACUGCAGCUGUCUAGGAGAUCUGAAGUAGAUGCCUUCAAAAUCCAGACCGGGGUCAAGCAAGGCUGUGCGAUAGCCCCCAUAUUAUUUACUAUGACUAUUCCCCUCAAAGAUCAACUACCUUCUGUUGUCAGUAUUAAAUACUGCAUAGAUGGAAAACUCUUUAGCCUCAGGCACUUCCAUUCCAAAACUAAACUGACCACCAGAGACAUAUAUGAUCUACAGUUUGCAGAUGACUGCAGUGUCAUUGCCCGCUCUGCAACAGAUUUGCAAGGUCCUCCUAAUCUCUUCAAUUCUGCACAUAAGAGACUCAGCCAGUCCUUGAAUUUUGCCAAAACAAAAUUCAUAUAUCAGCCUAUACCUAGUCAGUCAAAUAUUCCACCUCCCAUAUAUGUUAAAGGAGAGACUCUGGAAUAUGUUGAGCACUUCCCAUACCUUGGCAGCCAACUCUCUCAAAAGGCCAUCAUCGUCGAGGUGCUUGGACCAAAUUUAAAUGAAGUUUGACUGCUGUAUCAUUACAAAUGUAUGGCUACAAUAAUUGAAGAUGAGAAUCCCUCCUUUCCUUAUGUACCUUUGUUAAAAGAGUCAAAUUACAAGAUUUAAAAAUAAAGCUUGAUUCAAGCAACUUCCUCAAAAAUAAAA